GGUAACCGUGUUCUGUGUUCGGUGGGCUAUUAAAGCGUCGGAACAUUGACAGCGUCUCCUGCCUCCUUCUUCCGUCCAGCCGGACGCUACAGUAUAUCUAUGGUCGGCACAUCUGGUAGCAUCUCUGGCUGCUGUUGACCUUGUUUUUGGAGUAAAACACGGUGGAAGCUGAAUUAGUGAGGAUGACUCCUGCUCCUGUCAUCUCUAAGCUCCUCACACAUCUUUACCUGCACAUGAGGAAAAUCACUCCUGUAGAAUGCAGUGGUUCAUCAGAACCUCUGGGAUGUCCUGUGGAUUCUGUGGAUCCUGCGGGUUGCAGGGUGGGUCCUACCUAGACCAGGCUGAUCCUGGACCAUCCCACAGAUGCUCAAUCAGAUCUGGAUGUGGGGAGUGUGGAACCCAGAUGUUCAGAGGGAGAUGAUGCCACAUCUGGUCCAGCUGAUGGAAGGUCUUGAAGUUCUCUGACUGGCCUCGACUGAAGAUGGUCGUCUCUCUGGAUUUAAGAUGCACAAUGAGGGACGUCUGCAGAGACUGAGAAAGAGUCUCACCACAUCCUGACAUGAGGAAAAAGACUUUAUUGAAGACUACAAUGAGAAAAACUAUCAGACAGCAGACGGCUGCAUUCAAGAGAAGAAGACCAUCAAACAUCCACGUCAGCUGAUGGAGGUCCAAGAGUCUCACCAAACAAACAACCUACAGAGUGAAGACCUCGAAUCUGAUUGGACGGCCUCCUAUUCAGCCACAUUUUAGGCUGUUAGAUUGUUCCAGAUAAGACAAGUACAAGAUUCUUCAGAGCCGUUCUACCACGAACCUGACAGGAAGAACUCCAACAGCUACUGAAUGUUCCUGUGGUCCCCUCAAGGCUACAGGAGGAGCCCUACGAGGACGAGUCGGUCCACCCGAUGGCGGCCAGUCACUGCGGUUCAAAGCCAACACCGCCUACGUGGACUUCUACUGGACCACACGGAGGCCUUCAAACCGGACCAACAAGUUCACCGACUCCCCGACUUGUGGGUCUGAGGACGCCGCUGAGCCUCGGCUCAGCCGGCCUCCUGUCUGUGGGUGUUUUAGUGCUGAGAGGUUUGUGGAUGCAUGUGAACAUGUCUGUGUUGAAACAGCAGCUUUUGACUCACUAACACCGGGAAAAACCAAGAACUCCUUUAUUUGUGACUUCCACUAAAAAAAACUGAUGAAAAUAAGUUUGCCAGGGUUCUGACUGAUAACAGAUUAUUAAAUAAUGAAAAUAAUCAUUUAAAUAUUCCUUUAAACAAUCCUUUUAGGUCCACAUUUCCUUUACACUGACUUGUUGGUAUAUGUACAAUUAUUCUGGGUGGAAUAUACCAUUAAGCCCAAUGUUCAAGGGUUCUUCUGGGAAUAUACCAUUAAACUAACCUUUUAGGUAAAUGUUCCAGGAUGUUGAGUAGAAUAUACCAUCAGAUAAACCUUUUAGGUCUACAUUGGAAGAUUUUAGAGUAGAAUAUUACUCCAAACCAUCCUUUAGGUCUACAUUUAAGGUGGAAUACUCCUUUACACCAAGAUUUUUUGGUCUACAUUGAAAGACUUUAGGUGGAAUAUUCCUUUGAACGAACCUUUUAGGUCUACAUUGGAGGAUUUUAGGUGGAAUUUUCUUCCAAACCGUCUUUUAGUCUACAUUUAAGGAUGUUUAGGAUGGUAUAGUCUUCCGAACCAACUUCUCAGGUCUACAUUUCAGGUGGAAUAUUCCUCCAUACUAACUUUUUUGGUCUACAUUGAAGGAUUUUUUCUAAACCACCCUUUCGGGUCUGUAUUUGAGGUUUUAGGUGGAAUAUUUCUUUUAACCAGCCCCUCAGGUCUCUUUGAGGAUUUUGGAUGGGAUACUCAGUUAAACCAACAUUUUAGGUGCAUGUCCGAGGAUUUUUGGUGGAAUGUUCCUUUAAGGUGGAUGUUUGAGGACCUUGUAGGUGGAAUACUUCCUGAAACCAACCUUUUAGGUCAACAUUCAAAGAUUUAAGGUGGAAUAUUCCUUUAAACCAACCUAAAUUUCAUGUUUUGAUCAUUAUCAAGUGAGAAACCUCAAUCCAGACUCCUCAUAAUGACGUUUGAGAUUUAUGCUGCUGUUAUUUGUUUAGUACAGACUAAAUGACAGAAAUCCACAACUGUAAUUUUAUUUCAGGACUCGGUUAUUAAAUGUCAAAAUCCAUGUGACUCUAAAAACUCAACAGCUGUACAAACUCUAAGAUUAAACUCUCCACAAGGAUCCAAAAUAAUUUGGACUUCUACAUGAGAGCUUUAAUUAUUCUUCAUCUACUUCCUGAAAAGUUUGGUCAAUAAAAGAGACAAAAACUAAUAUUUUCAGCUGAACUAAAGACAGACUUUGUGAUUUUUCUGCUCACACUUUCUGUUGUUGUAAACUUACGCUUUCAAAUAAAUACCCACCUAACCCCCUGGAAACCAGCGUUUGUCCUGUUUUUGUGUUGCUCCUCGGCAACCCUAGACAGCGGGGUCCUAAUGUUUUUUGAGCAACACACCAUACUAUGACGUUUUUACAAUGAUGGUUCUACUAUGGAACCAGUUUGACAUGUUCAGGUGUUCUUUGUGUGAAAAGAUUUCAGGUAUCAGAAGGUGGUUUUCAACUUUCUUUGUUAACUUUCUGCCUCAACUUUAAACUAAAUUUCCUUCACUAACCCAGCCCUCUGGACUUCCAGUAAGCUGUGUUCCUAUUGGCUGUCCAGGUGGCUGCUUGGUGUUAUCAGGAACACCUGAGCAGCUCAGUGUCUUCCUGCUUUAUUUAGUUGCAGUCAAACAUUUCCUCUGCUUCUCUUCACCAGUGAACUGGGUUUGGCUCCAUUGCUUUAGUUUGUUCUUUAGGCGUUGGCUUGCAGCUUCCAGCAGUAAAAUCAUCUUUAAUGUGUUUCUUGGUGUGUUUUAGGGCUUUGUACUGGAUAGUUGUCUUGGUAAAUGUGGUUCUUUAGCCACAAUUAGCACAUGGUGCUAAUGUGUGCAGUGAUUAGUGGAUUUGGUGCAGCUGAGUUGUGUCUUUAUCUUGGCUAUAGUGAGUCUUCAGAGGUUUCUGGUCAGACACAUUCUGUAUUCUUGUUGGAGAACCAACGUUGGUUGUCCAGAAGGUAAGAGUUCCUGUCCUGAUUCUCUGUUCUCAGAGGUUCUCUGGUAGGCUGCAGGAGACUUUAGCAUUUGGGUUGUGCUAGUUUGGUUUUUGUACAGUUUCAUUUGGACGACUAUCUUGAGGCCCCUCCAUGUGGUUUAGUGAGGUUUUCUGCAACAGUUCUACAUAGCAACCUGCAGCAGAAGAGACUUUGAGAGUUUUUAGGAAGUUCUGGAGACCAGACUUUAGAGCAGCAGAAACAUUUGUCAGCAGUUUGAGCAGGAGAAGGUGAGCUUCAGAGUAGAAAUGAGAUGGAAACCUUCUUGACCCGUGUGGUGAGGUCCUGUACCAAAAGUUUGGGCAGGUUGUGAAGAGUCUGUAGUUCUUUGGUCUGAAAGCACAAGAAGAGUCAACUCAUUAAAGGAGAAAAUGGGAGAUAUUGUUGGUUCUUCUGUCGCUCUGCAGUUUCUUUAGACUGAAUAUCAAGUUUAUAUUUUAAAUGAUUUCCCAUGUGAACCCAAGAAGACUUCAAUAAACCCCCUCCAUCCCCUGGACACAACAUAUUUUAUUACCAUGUUAAAUGUUUUUGAGUUUUAAUCAUAGUUUUAGCACAGUUUUUUUCUCUUUGCUUGCUGUCAUCUGUGUGAA